UUUCUUUUGCUGUCAUCGAGUGGAAAUAUGAAAGUAUUAUUUGAUACACGCAUCAUCCUCAUUCAGUCAUGGAACAUUCAUCAAUUUUUAGCUAUAUUAAUUCCUUAUUUCUUAACUAGAAAAAUAAUACUGAAUCGGAUAAUCGGUUUGGCUCCCAGGUCCAGAUGAGUCUGGAAUCUGGACCCUUCAUUCUUAUUGAGAUUGUUAACCGUAGCUGCAUUCCAGUGCAUAUUCGUCCUUUUUACAAAAAAAUUGAACAGUGGUAGGCCUCAUGUACCAGACAUUAAUAUGGGCUGCUCCAUUUCUUCUGUGUCAGUACAGACAGCAGCUUGAUGCUCAUUCACCGCGUAGUACUCAUACCUGGACCGACGUGGUGGUUUGCCGUGAAUGCCAGCAGGUUCCCUAGUAAUUAAAAGACCCAACCAGCCUCCCAGCUAACACCUUCUUCCUCCCCUGAAUCUGGCUAUACCGAGUCCAUGGUGUCUUCUUCCUUCAGCGUUCUAAUCAUAUACACCUUGUUAGGACAAGCUGUGUGGUCUUUAGGGUGCCUCCCCACUCUGCAAGAGCAAGUUGGACUCAUCAACUGACAUGACACUACUGCACUUGACUUACAUUAUGCCACAAUUGGUACCCACUUAAUUUUUUGGCGCAUGGUUCACAAAAUCCCUGAAGUUAAAAACUGCAGUUUUGUUCUGUACUUCAGUAUGUGAGAACUCAUCUAAACUCAAGUGGUUUCAGAUUGCGGCCUAAUUUGUCUUCCCCUUGUAUGGAAUGGUACGUUUCAGAAAUCUGUACAAAUAGGUACCGCCGGCUCGCUGUCUCCCGUCGAUGAAUCAUUGCCAAUCUAUGUUCCUCCACACCUUUCUGUAUCCCGUCAAGGUCCUCAAGUUCUUCAUGGUCCACCCAACCUUCACCUUCUGCAACUUCCUCGCAGAUCCUGCCUGCCCACAAGGGCCAAGGCAAGUGUCGGGGAAGGUGCAUGGCAACCCUGUAGGCUGUCGGCAUCAUCACGAACCGGAGAACCGUCCAAUCUCUCUACGUCACAUCGCCAAAUAUUGACAGGCUGCUAACACAUGAUGAGUCAAAAAGAUUACAUCCUAAACAUAAUCCAGGCACCAUACACAUCAAGGCACAUACCUGUUGGCUAGACCUAGGGGAAACUCCAUGGUAGCUGCACACCCGCAUCAAGCUGGCAAUCAUGCUCAUGGGUUCAGGCGCCCAUGGGUGCAUCCGACCCGAAUGGGUAGUGUAUGGGUCGUCGACUUCACCCAGUAGUAACCCGAUUAGUCGUGGGUAGGUAUGUGCAUAACUUCAUACCUAUGGGUAACCUGAUUAACUAUUCUUACUGAUUAUAAAUAUUUCAUUUUAUAUAAGACGUAUUUUUAGAAAAAAUAUACACUGUAUACUCUAUAAUGGGUAGUAAAUCUGUACAAUUAUUUAAACGCAAGCCAACAAUGUACAUCAAGUACGAUGCAAAAAAGAAGUACAGCAAGUAGGCCAAAAGUUCAAGACUAACACAACGUGUAUGCAUCUCUAGUCCUUUGCUCUUCUCUUCAUCCACACAAAUCAAGUUUCAUGGGCCAAAAAUUGCUCAGUCAUCGGUCCAUAGGAGAUGUGCCAGUUGCAUGGCACCAAGACCCUGGUGCAUCCAAUUCAUGUAAAGCAAGUAACAACCUCGAGUAGCUAACGAGAUAGGGAUGGGCAAGCCCUGUAGGCGGUGUUGCAAGGAACAAUUUUAACAUACAAAAAAUAUCCUUAUUCUAUGGAAUGUUGGUCAGAGAUAAAUGUGAAGUAUGAUAAUUAUUCUUCAAUGCUCACCUGAUGGUGCCCAAUUGGGUCAAAUUACCUGAUGGGUUUGGGCAUGGGUCUAAACUUAGACCCAUGGGUAGGGUUGUGGGUUUGGGAUGAACCCGAUAGUGGGUUCGGGCAUGUGUCUGGUUGAGGUCGACCUGACCAAACCCGAACCAAUUGCCAGGUCACCUAGUACCAAAAAAUGGCCCCAGCCCAAGGUUGAAGAUGACUGGCUCUGUUUA